rnacentral:rRNA from 1 species
CCCUUAGAUGUUCUGGGCAGCACGCGCGCUAUAAUGGUCUUCGCAAACGGAUGCAUUCUCGAAGGAGAAUGCCAAUCUUGGAAUCUAUGCCUUGGUCGGGACAGUUGCUUGCAAUUUUUCGACUCGAACCAGGAAUUCCUUGUAAUCGUGAUUCAUCACAUCACGAUGAAUACGUCCCUGCCCUUUGUACACACCGCCCGUCGCUCCUACCGAUCGAAGAGUUAGGUGAAUUGUUUUGAUCGAUAAGAUUUGACUAUGGUCAACUCUCGUUGUGAAAUUCUGUGAAUCUGACUGUUUAGAGGAAGGAAAAGUCGUAACA